UCCUACGGGAGGCAGCAGUAGGGAAUUUUCGGCAAUGGGCGAAAGCCUGACCGAGCAAUGCCGCGUGAAUGAAGAAAUUCUUCGGAAUGUAAAAUUCUGUGGUGAGGGAAGAAAGGUAUUAGAAGGAAAUGGCUAAUAUUUGACGGUACCUUACUAGAAAGCCCCGGCUAACUAUGUGCCAGCAGCCGCGGUAAUACAUAGGGGGCAAGCGUUAUCCGGAAUUAUUGGGCGUAAAGCGUGCGUAGGCGGCCACUUAAGUCUGUCGUGAAAGCCCACAGCUUAACUGUGGAGGGUCGAUGGAAACUGAGAGGCUUGAAUCUAGGAGAGGUAAGUGGAAUUCCAUGUGUAGCGGUAAAAUGCUUAGAUAUAUGGAGGAACACCAGUGGCGAAGGCGGCUUACUGGUCUAGAAUUGACGCUGAUGCACGAAAGCGUGGGUAGCAAACAGGAUUAGAUACCCUGGUAGUCCACGCCGUAAACGAUGAGCACUAAGUGUCGGACGUAAGUUCGGUGCUGAAGUUAACGCAUUAAGUGCUCCGCCUGGGGAGUACGGUCGCAAGACUGAAACUCAAAGGAAUUGACGGGGACUCGCACAAGCGGUGGAGCAUGUGGUUUAAUUCGACGCAACGCGAAAAACCUUACCAGGCCUUGACAUACCGAUGACGUCUUUAGAGAUAGAGAGUUACCUUCGGGUACAUCGGAUACAGGUGGUGCAUGGUUGUCGUCAGCUCGUGUCGUGAGAUGUUGGGUUAAGUCCCGCAACGAGCGCAACCCUUAUCAUUAGUUGCUAACAGUCAGAUGAGCACUCUAAUGAGACUGCCAGCGAAAAGUUGGAGGAAGGUGGGGAUGACGUCAAAUCAUCAUGCCCCUUAUGGCCUGGGCUACACACGUGCUACAAUGGCUGGUACAAAGAGGAGCAAAGCUGUGAAGUGGAGCAAAUCUCAAAAAGCCAGUCUCAGUUCGGAUUGUAGUCUGCAACUCGACUACAUGAAGUUGGAAUCGCUAGUAAUCGUAAAUCAGCAUGUUACGGUGAAUACGUUCUCGAGUCUUGUACACACCGCCCGUCACACCAUGAGAGUUUGUAAUACCCGAAGCCGGUGGCUUAACCGCAAGGAGAGAGCCGUCUAAGGUAGGACAGAUGAUUGGGGUGAAGUCGUAACAAGGUAUCCCUACGAGAACGUGGGGAUG
rnacentral:rRNA from 1 species